CUGGGAGAAAUCAUCAGUUUUCAUGGAGGCAGGAAUGCUUUAGAAAAGAGACUGAAUACUGAACUUGAAGCCUUGAGACUGUGGCCUCAGAAUAAGUUGGAAUAUGCAAUUUUGAGUAAGUUAGAGAAGCACAUUUUCAUUCCCUACAUUCCCAUUCCCUACAUUCCCCUGAUAUGACUGGUUGCACUGGCUGGCCAAGCCUGUCUCUGGACCUUCUCUCGCCUUCAUACGACAUUUUCUCCUCAUGUUUUGCAGGGCUUGCAGCUGAAGCUCACAACUGAUUUCCCAGUACUGUUCUCUGGGAGCUUUUCCAAUGAGUGCCCCCAUGUCAUCGCUCCUGCUUUUAAGGACAAGUAAAAUGAAGCAGUGUAAUACUUAGAGAUAAAAGAUGUUCAAAACACGAAUCUUUUAAAGUAAGAGAAGUGAAGUGAAAAAGAUGAAGAUACUAUGCUCUGAUCUCCUAUUUUUAUGGAUGGAGCAAGAUGACCUUGGUAGCUCAACCUAAUUUCAAGGUGAUGUAUGUUUCCCAGAGCAUACUGCAUUCAGCAAACUGAAAUAAUGGAAAACUUUUCCCCACCCACAGGGAAAGAAAUGACAUCAGUGACUAUAUUCCACGUGUUAUUUUAAACAUAUAUUUAUGUUUAAUCCCUUGGUGUCUGAUACGGCAAGUCUUCUAGAAAAUGCUGGUGCUAGUAAAAUUUCCAGAGAGCAUAUAAAAAUAACAACAGCAAAGCCUCAUCACAACAGCCAACACUUCUGAGAGCUUUCUCCAUACUUCAUGCUCUGCAUGCCUUAAGUGAAAGAGAACUUUGAUAAUCACUGUGCACAUGAAGUUUAAAGACCUUUACCUUCAUUUUAUCUGAGAAAAACUGAAGUUCAGUCACUGCAGCAGUUAGAAACAUCCUAGCGGUCAAAACAGAUAAACCCUGAAAUCAUAGUUGCUGAAACAUUACAAACUUAUUUCUCAUAUACAACAGUCCAACAGGGGUUCUGAGGGAAUGGUCUUCCUUGCAGUAACUCAAGCCUCAAGGUCUUUAUUGUUAUGGGGUGGGGCAGUCAUGCUUUAAAAAUUGGGGAGUUUCCAUCAUGGCUCAGUGGAAACGAAUCUGACUAGGAUCCACGAGGACACAAUUUCCAUCCUUGGCCUUGUUCAGUGGGUUAAGGAUGGGUCUGGUGUUGCUGUGAAGGUCGCAGGCAUGGCUCAGACCCCACAUUGCUAUGACUGUGGCAUAGGCCAGCAGCUAUUCGAUCCCUAGACUGGGAACUUCCAUAUGCCAUGGGUAUGGUCCUAAAAACAAAAACAAACAAACAAAAAAAUUGAAUGGGGGUCUCAAAAAGACAUAAUUUUCAGCAUUGGAAGGACACAAUUGCAGUACUUUGCCUACCUCAUUCUAGCAUAGGAAUAAAUUGGAUUAGGAAGGUAUCUAAAUGUACAUUCUGCCGAGCCAAUUAUUAUUUAAUUUCUUUAUCUUUGUGCUGUAUCUAUCUUAUUUGAUGGGGUCAUAGGCGGCCUGGAUCAGAACUGUUUUUCUUGUUACCCACUUUUCUAAUAUAAAAUUUCACAAAGGGAGAAUCCUUAUAAAAUUUUAAUGUUGGAAAUAACUGCCUUUUACUAAUAAGCUUUUAUUGGUGAUGUCUAAGCACACCAGGAUAAAGAAAACCAUUUGCCUUCCACUGUCUAACAGCCGUGGAGAACUGUGGAAACUCUUUAAAAGAUGGAAAAUGUACAGAAAUUGGAAAGACAAUAAUAGCUCCUUCCUUUAUGUUCCUUAAACAAAACACCCUGACAGAAUUUGCUAUAUAUAUUGCUAAGUAAAUUGAGCUUCUCUACAAAAGUGUAAACAAAAUAAAAUUGCUACAUAGCUCUUUAAUUCAGCAAAUUUAAUUUUCCAUGUAUUCAUUCAACAAUGUACCUGAACUGGUAUUGCUGACAAAUAGGACUGGCUGACUGACAGCCUGCUGAAAAUAAACUGUAAGACUGGUGUUUUGCUACUUCCAAUCUUUCUUUCUAAUAACGACAAUGUAAUUACAAUUUUUAGAUCAAAUGCACCAAUGAUCACUCAUUUUUAAAUCAUAUGGAAAGGUCAAAAGGAAGACCUAUAAAUAACUGCUAAUAUUGUUUUCCUAAAAUGUCAAAAAUAGAAACGUAACAAAACUGUAACAUUAGACUAUUAACAUUAACACACGGUCAUCAACUCGAUUCAACUAACACUCACUGAGCACUAAUCAUGUGUGCUGCCUUGUGAUAGAGUAUAGAAAAAUAAGAAUAACAGGUCGUUUUUUUCUCAAGGUGCUUAUAAUGUAGUUGGGGAAAUGCAGGCACACAUACUCGAAAAACAAAAUACACAUAACACCCAUUAAUGCAACUCUUCCUAUAGUUCAUCCAAUCUAGGAAGGGGUCAUAUUUUUCUAUCAUCUAUACAGAAGUUUGAAAGUGAACAGCUGAACUUAAUCCACAGAAAAAUACGCAAUAACCGAAAUACUAAGAAACAGGAUGAGAUUCUUUAUCAUAAUGAUUGAUAGCCAUUUGAUUGAAGAAGACCCCAAACCUGCAAUGGUCUCCAAUCUUAGAAGACUCAGAAAGAGUAUACAUAUAAGAUAUGGUGACAAAUGGGGAGUGCAGUUACCACAUUAUCAUAAUUAUCCAACUGUAAUUUCAAUUACAUCCCAUAAUAAAUCUGGUUGGAAUCUCUGACUUAGCAGGAGAGGCCCUUCUCCAACUUCAAUUUCUCAUCUCUCACAAACAACUAAGUCCAGAUUAAUGAGAAAUCUGAGGUAUGAAAGCAAUUGUGUGAGAGCAGCAUGCCUCUUCAUCCCCCAAAGGGUCAGGCCGAAUUCUGCUGCUUUUAAAACAUGGUCAAGAGAUCGAAAUGAAGGGACAAGCGUGGCCACUUACCGCAUGGAAGCACCAAGCAAAAAUAACAGGGCUACAUUCAUAUGCAUUGCUUUUCAACAAAGUUUUCUUCUAACCCCUCCCCCACCUCACCCCAACAAAAUGGGUCCAACUUGGGUUUUAGAUUAUGGCCUAAGUAGCAGUUGCUGAGUGUGGUGGGGUAAGCAGAAAAAAUGUGAUGAGAGUAAAGAAUAGUUUUGUAGGGAAGAGAGACCUCCCCUGAAAUUCUAAUUCUGCUAUUCUCCAUGUUUCAGAAAAUGAUUGAGAAAAUUUUCAAGAAUCAUUUGCUUAAAAAAAAAAUUGUGGCAUUCCCAUCGUGGCUCAGCAAUAACAAACCCAACUAGUACACAUGAGGAUGCAGGUUCGAUCCCUGGCUUUGCUCAGUGGGUUAAGGAUCCAGCAUUGCCAUGAGCUAUGGUGUAGGCUGCAAACGCAGCUGAGAUCCUGUGUUGCUGUGGCUGUGGUGUAGGCCGGCAGCUGUGACUCUGAUUGGGAGCUUCCAUAUGCUGCAGCAACUCUACUUAGGGGAAGGUUGAAGGGAAGCAGGCAGAUGGGGAAUGUGAAAUUGGUCAUUUUUUCUGUGCAGCAUACAGUAUCAUGUUAAUAUAUGACAUGGUUACACCUUUGCUCUUGUAACGAAUUUAGAACACAACUUACAAGUAUUCCAUAUAGUUAAUAGAUACUUCUAAUUUGGAAGAAAUUUCUACGGCUAUACAAAAUCCAACACAACUGUCGAUAUAUUCUGAAAGAAAGCCCUUAAUAAAGGAAAUAUUAAUAUACUACAUAAACUUUGCCUAAGGGGAAACUUACACCUGUUGCUUUCAAACUUGUUUCCAUCAAGUUGUGACAUCUCACACAACUUAUAAUUUCUUAUGAGUUCAUUUUACUUUGUUUCUUUCCGGAAAUAUUACUGCAUUUCCUUUCCACUACCCUUAUAAAAUUAUUGCCAUUUUUAUAGACACGUUACUGCCUUGGCCCACACUAUAGCUAAGAAAUAAAAAAUAAUUUCAGGAGAGUAACAUCACCAAGGUGGCAGAGAAAGCGGCCUCAGCCUCUGUUUACCCAGCAAAGAAUAACAAUCAGCCAUUCAUAUACGAAGACAGCUCUUGGAGGACACAGGAAUCCUCUGAAGAAGUUUCAGCAAUGCCAUGAGUUCUCCAUUUUGCUUUGAACAAUCUGAAGUAGAUACUUGUUUUCCUUCUGACAGGCAACACAUACAUUUCAUUCAAGGUCUUAUGAAUUUAAAGAAACAAUCACUAGAACUUUCAUCACCGCAUAGGUCAUUGAUAAAGUUAGGAUUUCAGACCUGUCCAGACUACAGCUCAAUGUGGCAGAGUCUGCAUGUUGACUAAGUGAGAAUUUUAGAGGAAGGGUCAUCACUGUUGAAUCUGUCUAGUGGAAUAGAAAAGGAUGGUCCCAGAGCCAGAGAGAAAGGAAAGAAGCAAGGCUGUUGCCCUUGUGAUUCACAGUAUGGUAGAAUGAUGUCCCUCUAGGCAUUUAUCCCAUAAAGAAUACUAUAAUAAGGCUGUUUAAGUUUCUUCAAUGCAUUAAAUAUUCUCCCUUCACUCAAAACCUCCAAGUCCCAAGAUGGCCAGACACUUCCAGGAAAUAACUGGGGUGACUGAUGGCAUGUCUCUGUAACUGGGGGUGGCAGGUCAGUGUUCAGCUCCCACAUGGAGCCUGCUUCUAUGCCCCAGGGCUUUGCUCCCUUGUCAAUAUCCUCAAUAGCGCAGAUCUGCACAUUACUUAUUGCCUAAUGCAAAAACAGAUUGCUCUGCCUAGCAUCUAAUAGUUGUGACUAUCCCAAUGACAUGAACGUAUGCAAUACGGAGCUGAAUUGUAAGGCUGACAAGAGCCUGCGUGUGCAGAAACGUAAUUACAGUGGAAGUUUAAUGAUAAAUCACCGCAGUUUCUCUCUGCCUUAAUAAACUGUCAGGUACUACCAAAUAAAGCUGAAGCAAUUAAGGGAAGCAACAGGAUCUUGGGCUGAGGGACAGGAGUGAUAGAAGAAAUAGAACCUCCACCCCCUCCCCCAAAUUGCUUACAUAAACUGCUGGUACUUAACAGCUGUGAACUCUGAUCAGCAGGAACAUCAACCUCCUCAUUCAUCCACCUAGGAUAUGGGAUUUUGAUUUCUCACAGGAAGGUAGAGUAUUUUCAACUACGAUAAAAUACUUUAGACAUCCAAAGAGCUCAUUAAAGUCCACCUAUUAUUUCUGUAUGCCCCUCAGUAUCUGUUUAAAGAGGUUAUUUAUAAAACACUACCAUUUUAUUUCCUCAUCCCUAAUUUCUCAGGUCUUCAAGCUGUGAUUAUUCGAAUGGACAGGCAAGGAUACAGAGGGUGCAAUGAAACUAGGACAGUGUCCAGGAUAGGACAGGAACUGAGCUGCCCAGCAGGGCACAGCCAAGGAUAUAGAAAGUGACAGACCUGAGUUCACAUCCCAGCUCUGCAACUUAAUAGCUGAGUGAUUUUCGGCAAGUUCCUUAAACCUCUUUCAUACUCCUUUUCCUGAUUUGUAAAAUGAGGAGAUUAGUUAACGACAUCUACUUCAUAAGGUUGUUAGGAAGAACAAACUAAAUGGUGCAUUAAACCUCUGACUCCCUGUAAUUCCUGCCACCUAUAAUGCACUCAAUGCAUGUUGUUAUUAAUAAUAGUUUGUUACUAUAUUAUCAGUUUCCAAGUAGAUAUAUGUAUCUGCCCCCACCCUGCACUCUCAACACAUUUACCAGACCUUGUUCCUGCAGGCAGCCCAAAGGAUAGAAUUAUACUGCAUCUGGACAGACAGGAUUACUGUAAUUACACUGUCUAACCCUGUUAUUGGAUAUGUGUGGAAACUUAGCUGAAUUCAUAUAUUUAAUCACAAAUUGGUCAAAGCUAAGCAUCAGGCUCUGAAAUAGGCACUAAAAAUACAAACAUGAAUAAAGUCCUAUUAACUUGCGAUUCAUCAUCUUGAUAGUGAAACAGGGAGGUAGAAGCAAGUAAGAAACGAAUCAGAGAGGCAAGUUCCCUCCUCUUGUUACUCAAACACGGAAGAGGAAGAGCUUAUCCCUGACUGGGGCAGCCAAAGAAAGUGUUCUAGAAAAAAGGACAUUUUCUCUGUUGUCAUAAAACUGCAUAUAAUAGAGACUCUAAGAAGAAAAUCAGAUAAGAGUACAGACAAAGUAAUAAAAUGGCAUGCAAACAUCAUUCAUCCUUAAAGAAAUGUAAAUUAAAAUCCCAACCAGAUUACACUACCUAAGUAUUAGAAUGGCUAAAAUAAAAAAUAAAACAAACAAACAAAUAAAAUGCCAAGAAUCGGAGAGGACCUAGAGUAACCAGUUUUUUCCCACAUUGCUGGUGGGAAUACAACAUGCUAUAGCUACUUUCAAAAACAGUUUGUCAAUGUUUUAUAAAGUUAAACAUCCACUUAACCAAUGAUGGACUCCUUCUCCUAGGCAUUGGCUCCAAUGGAGAGAAAAAUUAUGUUUAUACAA
rnacentral:lncRNA from 1 species